rnacentral:lncRNA from 1 species
GAACUUCAGGGAUGGAAAUGGAGAGGAGCCUGAGGAAAAGAAGGUCCAGUGGCAGGCCCAAAGUGGGAUCCAGCUCAAGCAGAAAUACGAAAGCAUGACACUAUUACUGAGGCUACGGAGGCUCUCAAAAAGAAAAGCCAGGAGAAGCUGAGGAGGAGGGAAACUCUGUGGGAGGACCAGCAGUCUCAAUUAACCUGGACCCCUGAGAUCUCUCAAACACUGGAUCACCAACCAGGUGGCAUACACCAGCUGAUAUGAGUACUCCAACAUAUACAGCAGAGGACUGGUGGGUCUGAAUCCAACCAGAGAAGAUGCACCUAACCCUCAACAGACUGGAGGUUGCAAGGAGUUUAGCAUUCUGAUUGGAUGGGUGGUGGUUUGUGGGUGUUGAGUGUUUGGUGUUGGGUGUUUGGUGUUGGGGGGGAGUGAGUAGUGGGUGUGGGGAGGUGGGGAUAGCCUUGCAGAGAAAGUGGGGGUGAGGAUGAGCUUCUUAAAACCAACACCCACAGUGAUAUGCCUACUCCAACAAGGCCACACCUAUUUCAACUGUUC